rnacentral:rRNA from 1 species
AUUGAACGCUGGCGGCAGGCCUAACACAUGCAAGUCGAGCGGAUGAAGGGAGCUUGCUCCUGGAUUCAGCGGCGGACGGGUGAGUAAUGCCUAGGAAUCUGCCUGGUAGUGGGGGAUAACGUCCGGAAACGGGCGCUAAUACCGCAUACGUCCUGAGGGAGAAAGUGGGGGAUCUUCGGACCUCACGCUAUCAGAUGAGCCUAGGUCGGAUUAGCUAGUUGGUGGGGUAAAGGCCUACCAAGGCGACGAUCCGUAACUGGUCUGAGAGGAUGAUCAGUCACACUGGAACUGAGACACGGUCCAGACUCCUACGGGGGGCAGCAGUGGGGAAUAUUGGACAAUGGGCGAAAGCCUGGUCCAGCCAUGCCGCGUGUGUGAAGAAGGUCUUCGGAUUGUAAAGCACUUUAAGUUGGGAGGAAGGGCAGUAAGUUAAUACCUUGCUGUUUUGACGUUACCAACAGAAUAAGCACCGGCUAACUUCGUG